GACGAACGCUGGCGGCGUGCCUAAUACAUGCAAGUCGAACGCAUUUUCUUUCACCGUAGCUUGCUACACCGAAAGAAAAUGAGUGGCGAACGGGUGAGUAGCACGUGCGUAACCUGCCCAUCAGCGGGGGAUAAACUUUGCAACAGGUGGUUAUACCGCAUAAUUUCAUUUUUCGCAAGGUAAAUGGAUUUAAGGUGCCUUUUCGUCAAUGAUGGAUGGAGCCGUGGUGCAUUAGCUAGUUGGCGGAGUAACGGCCCACCAAGGCUGCGAUGCAUAGCCGACCUGAGAGGGUGAUCGGCCACACUGGGACUGAGACACGGCCCAGACUCCUACGGGAGGCAGCAGUAGGGGAUCUUCGGCAAUGGACGGAAGGCUGACCGAGCAACGCCGCGUGAGGGAAGAAGGUUUUCGGAUCGUAAAACUCUGUUGUUAGAGAAGAACAAGGAUGAGAAUGGAAAGUUCAUCCCUUGACGGUAUCUAACCAGUAAGCCACGGCUAACUACGUG
rnacentral:rRNA from 1 species